rnacentral:rRNA from 1 species
CCUACGGGGGGCAACAGUGGGGAAUAUUGGACAAUGGGGGGAACCCUGAUCCAGCCAUGCCGCGUGUGUGAAGAAGGCCCUCGGGUUGUAAAGCACUUUCAGUGAGGAAGAACGCCUGGUGGUUAAUACCCAUCAGGAAAGACAUCACUCACAGAAGAAGCACCGGCUAACUCCGUGCCAGCAGCCGCGGUAAUACGGAGGGUGCGAGCGUUAAUCGGAAUUACUGGGCGUAAAGCGCGCGUAGGUGGCUUGAUAAGCCGGUUGUGAAAGCCCCGGGCUCAACCUGGGAACGGCAUCCGGAACUGUCAAGCUAGAGUGCAGGAGAGGAAGGUAGAAUUCCCGGUGUAGCGGUGAAAUGCGUAGAGAUCGGGAGGAAUACCAGUGGCGAAGGCGGCCUUCUGGACUGACACUGACACUGAGGUGCGAAAGCGUGGGUAGCAAACAGGAUUAGAUACCCCAGUAGUC